UCUCUUUCGUGACUUAGGAUGGGAUUUAAGAGCGAAGAUUAACGGUAGAACAUCCAUUCCCCCUGGAAACCUGGAAGCGUAGAGUUUACAGAGGUUACAGCUGGUUACAACAUCGACUAAAAAUGGAGACCCGAGUGUUGAUCUGUUUCCUUGUCGUGCUUUACCUGGCGACUGUCUCGGUCGCUGCUCCUUUGGACGAAUCUCGAAGCGUAGAGGGCAGAAAUAACGAGGUCAUGGUAAGAGCCAAACGUGGAUCCUGCAUUUGGAGAUGUGGCUACUGGGGUCACUUCUUGACCUGUCCAAGUGGGUUCUUUGUCCAAGGAGCGUGUGGUUCUGGGAAAAAUGCGGAUUGUUCUCAUACCCACUGCGGCAAAAAGACCUGGCACGCCAUCUUGUGUUGCCCGAAAUAAACUUGAAAGCCAUAAACGCGAAAAACAAAAUAUCCGCAGUAUUCAGAUAAAUACACAAGAAUGCUCUUGUCAACUGUGCAUAAUUUUGAAUUGAUUUGAUGCAUAAGAUGAAACUUAUUCGGAAACAAUUUGAUUUAUUAUCUUUGCUGUUUUGGCCUGCUUUCACUUUGCAGUUGAAAAAAUAAAAAAUGACCUUCUAAAUAUUGCGUGUUUUCGAUG